UGAUUUCGUUUCAUUUUGAUGAUAAUGAUGAUACAGUGAUGUUGGGCUUUGAUUUCCGGCGAGGAUGAUGGCGAUGAAAGAUGAUUUAUGCGUUGAUGAUGAUGGCGAUGGUGAUGAUGUUGAGCUUUGAUGGGUUUUGAUGAUUUCCGGCGAGGGUGAUGAUGAUGGCGAUGGUGAUGAUGUUGAGCUUUGAUGGGUUUUGAUGAUUUCCGGCGAGGGUGAUGUUGAUGGCGACGGUGAUGAUGAAAAUGGUUUCCGUUUAUGCGAUGGUGAUGAAAAUGGCGAGGGUGAUGAAAAUGG
rnacentral:lncRNA from 1 species